rnacentral:lncRNA from 1 species
UUUAAAGCGUGGCGUUGGGAUGGAUAAAUAAUGGUAGGAAGGGAAACUUGAUGAUCGGAGUAAUAAGAGAUGAAAAUAAAACUCGCAAGACUUUUCACUUCUUUUUUUUUACUCUUUUUUUUUUGCUCACUUCUUUUUUUCUUUUUUUUCGAAUUUUUUUUUGAAUUUUGAUUUUUUUUGUGAUACUCCAAUACAAUAGUAACGUAAAUACAAGGAAGGAAAAAAAUUA